UACGGAGGGUGCAAGCGUUGUCCGGAUUUAUUGGGUUUAAAGGGUGCGUAGGUGGCGUCUUAAGUCUGGUUUGAAAGCUGGUGGCUCAACCAUCAGAUGUGGCUGGAAACUGGGGCGCUUGAAUGGGUUGGCGGUAGCCGGAAUGGGUCAUGUAGCGGUGAAAUGCAUAGAUAUGACCCGGAACACCGAUUGCGAAGGCAGGCUACUACGACUUGAUUGACACUGAGGCACGAGAGCAUGGGUAGCGAACAGG
rnacentral:rRNA from 1 species